GGAGGGAUGGUCGAGCUGGCUGAAGGCACCGGUCUUGAAAACCGGCAAGGGCGUGAGUCCUUCGUGGGUUCAAAUCCCACUCCCUCCGCCA
rnacentral:tRNA from 1 species